rnacentral:rRNA from 1 species
AAUAGAUACCCAGGUAGUCCACGCCGUAAACGAUGAGUGCUAAGUGUUGGGGGGUUUCCGCCCCUCAGUGCUGCAGCUAACGCAUUAAGCACUCCGCCUGGGGAGUACGGUCGCAAGACUGAAACUCAAAGGAAUUGACGGGGGCCCGCACAAGCGGUGGAGCAUGUGGUUUAAUUCGAAGCAACGCGAAGAACCUUACCAGGUCUUGACAUCCCGGUGACCACUAUGGAGACAUAGUUUCCCCUUCGGGGGCAACGGUGACAGGUGGUGCAUGGUUGUCGUCAGCUCGUGUCGUGAGAUGUUGGGUUAAGUCCCGCAACGAGCGCAACCCUUAUUCUUAGUUGCCAUCAUUCAGUUGGGCACUCUAAGGAGACUGCCGGUGAUAAACCGGAGAAGUGGGGAUGACGUCAAAUCAUCAUGCCCCUUAUGACCUGGGCUACACACGUGCUACAAUGGACGGUACAAACGGUUGCCAACCCGGCAGGGGGGAGCUAAUCCGGAUAAAACCGUUCUCAGUUCGGAUUGUAGGCUGCAACUCGCCUAC